AGAGAUGGAUUGGUGCCUUCGGGAACUCUGACACAGGUGCUGCAUGGCUGUCGUCAGCUCGUGUCGUGAGAUGUUGGGUUAAGUCCCGUAACGAGCGCAACCCUUGUCCUUAGUUACCAGCACGUUAUGGUGGGCACUCUAAGGAGACUGCCGGUGACAAACCGGAGGAAGGUGGGGAUGACGUCAAGUCCUCAUGGCCUUUAUGACCAGGGCUACACACGUACUACAAUGGCCGAUACAAAGGGCAGCGACACUGCGAGGUGAAGCCAAUCCCGUAAAAUCGGUCUCAGUCCGGAUUGGAGUCUGCAACUCGACUCCAUGAAGUUGGAAUCGCUAGUAAUCGUGGAUCAGCAUGCCACGGUGAAUACGUUCCCGGGCCUU
rnacentral:rRNA from 1 species